GCCUCUGGAGGUCCCCUGAUGGUCGCCCAGUACUGCCGCCGGGCAUCAGAAACAAGUGUUCACAGGAGGCACAUGGGAUGGCUCAUGUGGGGUACAAACAAAAAUUGGCUAAAAUCUGUGCACAGACAAAUUUAACCUUGGUUCAAGCCCUUCCAUUCGUGUUAAUGGUCCUUAGAAGCUCAGUAAAUCAGGGUACGAACUGACCACCGAGAGACAGUUUCCUGGACCCAGUGCCGGCCUGAAGCUUAGGCCCAACCCGGAAGCUCCACCAGGUGAGUAUGCAUGUCGUAUAACGAUGUACGAGCUCUCGUUUCAGAUUUUGCGGACCAGGUGUGAGACAAAACAGGGGAUCAGAACGCCCACAACCCCCACACGGAAGCCUGGGUCCUCCUGAGGGUCAUUAAGAGGAAGUGGUCAGAGCCGCGGUGGACCGGACCAUACCAGGUGGAGGAGAGAUCCUCACAUGCAGUGAGGCUGAGAGGGAAAGGUGAUACCUGGUACCACUGGAGCCAGUGCGCCACCGCAGAGGAACCUGCUCGCACUCUCCAGGACGUCCUGAAGGAUCAGGAGCAAGAGGCGGCAACGGGCACCGGAGGGUCCCCAAACGCACUCUCAACGGGGAGUUGACUGACAGACACCCAGAGCAUGGUGAUCUGUGUCGAUUGUCUACAAGCAAGAAGACCAAGAAUAAGUGUAUAACUAUCCUCUCCUCUGUUCUAUCUUUCUCAAUUCUCCGCUUUAGUUUAGCAAAAAGAAAAAAAAGGACAAGACACGAUCCCGUUAUUGGCCUGGAAAGGAGGCAAGAUGAGGAGGCUGAUCCAGCAGACGUUCUCCAACAGCUGGGGUGAUCUCUGAAGAGAUCAGAAGGGGGAAUUUAGGAGACGGCGGAGGGCGAGGUUGGUGCUGAACGAGACACACCUGGUUCCCAUCCCACUUAAUCACUUGUGCCAUAAAGACAGGCUCUGCUCGUCACUCCGGUGCCAGAGUAUUCCCGCUCGUACCCGCUGCAACUCGUGGCUCCCGGCUCUCUUCUCCCGUGCUCGACGCCAGCCCAGCCAGCUCAACCUCCGUCGUCUCCUCCGCUUCCAGCGCCUUGUGUUUUUGUGUAUCCUGCUGUGAGGAUUAAACCUUUUGAAGA